CCUACGGGCGGCAGCAGUGAGGAAUAUUGGUCAAUGGCCGGGAGGCUGAACCAGCCAAGUCGCGUGAGGGAAGACGGUCCUACGUGUUGUAAACCUCUUUUGUCAGGGAACAAAGUCUAGGUCGGGACCUCCUGUGAGUGUACCUGAAGAAAAAGCAUCGGCUAACUCCGUGCCAGUAGCCGCGGUAAUACGGAGGAUGCGAGCGUUAUCCGGAUUUAUUGGGUUUAAAGGGUGCGCAGGCGGAGGGACAAGUCAGCGGUAAAAUCGCGGUGCUCAACCCCGCCCCGCCGUUGAAACUGUGUGCCUUGAGUGCGCGAAGGGUAGGCGGAAUGCGUGGUGUAGCGGUGAAAUGCAUAGAUAUCGCGCAGAACUCCGAUCGCGAAGGCAGCCUACCGGCGCGAAACUGACGCUCAGGCACGAAAGCGUGGGUAUCGAACAGGAUUAGAUACCCUAGUAGUC
rnacentral:rRNA from 1 species